rnacentral:rRNA from 1 species
AGCAGCCGCGGUAAUUCCAGCUCCAAUAGCGUAUAUUAAAGUUGUUGCAGUUAAAAAGCUCGUAGUUGAAUUUCAGGCCUGGCUGGACGGUCCGCCCUUCGGGUGAGUACUGUCUGUGGUCGGGUCCUACCUUCUGGCGAAGCGUCAUGGCCUUAACCGGCCGUGGCGGGGAACCAGGACUUUUACUGUGAAAAAAUUAGAGUGUUCAAAGCAGGCAAUCGCUUGGAUACAUUAGCAUGGAAUAAUGGAAUAGGACAAUGGUUCUAUUUGUUGGUUUCUAGGACCGUUGUAAUGAUUAAUAGGGAUAGUUGGGGGCAUUAGUAUUCAAUUGUCAGAGGUGAAAUUCUUGGAUUUAUUGAAGACUAACUACUGCGAAAGCAUUUGCCAAGGAUGUUUUCAUUAAUCUAAGAACGAAAGUUAGGGGAUCGAAAGACGAUCAGAUACCGUCGUAGUCUUAACCAUAAACUAUGCCGACUAGGAAUCGGGCGAUGUGACAAAAUGACGCGCUCGGCA